rnacentral:ncRNA from 1 species
AACAUAUCACGAAAUAUCAUUUUGAGGAAUUCUAACAGAAGUUUCUAUUGGUAGUGUAAGUUGGGCAAAGUGUCUUAUUUUUUUAAAGUAUUUAAAAGUAAAAUUACAUGUUAAUACGUAGUAUUAAUGGCGAGACUCCUGAGGGAGCAGUGCCAGUCGAAGACCGAGGCUGAGGCGGCACCCUAGGAAAGCGAAGCCAUUCAAUACGAAGUAUUGUAUAAAUAUAGAACAGCAG